rnacentral:rRNA from 1 species
AAGGGACGCCGCGGAGGGUGAUAGCCCCGUCAUGGGCCGUCGACCUGCUGCCGUGUGAAGCUCCCUCGACGAGUCGAGUUGUUUGGGAAUGCAGCUCCAAAGCGGGAGGUAAAUUCCUUCCAAAGCUAAAUACCGGCCAAGGACCGAUAGCGCACAAGUAGAGUGAUCGAAAGAUGAAAAGCACUUUGGAAAGAGAGUCAAACAGUACGUGAAAUUGUUGAGAGGGAAGCGUUUGCGAUCAGACGCGUGGGGGGUCGGCUCACCCCGGCCCGCGUGGUCGGGGGCAUUCCCUCCCCCCGCGAGCCAGCAUCGGCUCGGGCGGCGGCAGGAACCGGGCGGGAACGUGACUCCCUCGCGGAGUGUUACAGCCCACCCGGCAUCUUCCGACCGCCCGCCUGGGUCGAGGCAGGCGCGUCCCGUUCUACGGGGCGCUCGGAUGCUGGCGUAAUGGUCGUAAGCGGCCCGUCUUGAAACACGGACCAAGGAGUCCAACGUCCGCGCGAGUGUGUGGGUGUCAAGCCCGCGCGCGAAAUGAAGGUGAACGAAGGUGGGAAGCUCCCCCCGCCCCCGGGCGAGGGUGGCCGCACCAUCGACCGAUCCUGAUGUCCUCGGAUGGAUUUGAGUGGGAGCGCGGCCGCUGGGACCCGAAAGAUGGUGAACUAUGCCUGC